rnacentral:lncRNA from 1 species
UUUAAAUAUUUAUUGAGCACCUACUGUGUGCCAGAUGCCAUAAUGCCACUGGAGAACCAGCAAUGGACAAAACAAGGCCUUGAAAACCCAAAGAGGCACUUUUCCAACGAGGACAUGCAGAUGGCCAACAGACACAUGAAAAGAUGCUCAAUAUCACUAAUCAUCAAGGAAAUGCAAAUCAAAACCACAGUGAGAUAUCGCCGCACAUCUGUCAGAAUGGCCAUUAUCAAAACCACAUGAGGGAGUUCCCGCCCUGGCGCAGCGGAAACACAUCCGAUGAGGAACCAUGAGGUUGCGUGUUUGAUCCCUGGCCUCACUCAGUGGGUUAAGGAUCUGGUGUUGCCACGAGCUGUAGUGUAGGUCAAAGAUGUGGCUCAGAUCUGGUGUUGUUGUGACUGUAGCAUAGGCUGGCAGCAACACCUCUGAUUCAACCCCUAGCCUGGGAACCUCCAUAUGCUGCUGGUGUGGCCCUAAAAAGCAAAAAAGAAAAAGAAAAAAAAAGAAACAAACAAAUGUUGGUGAAAAUGUGGAGAAAAGGGAACCCUCAUACACCAUUGGUAGGAAUGUAAAUUGGUGUUGACACUGUGGAAAACAGUAUGUUUUCUCAGAAAACUAAAAAUGGAACUACCAUAUGACAUAGCAGUUCCCUUCCUGGGCGUAUAUCUGAAAAAAAAAAAACAAACAAAAAAAAACGCUAAUGCAGAAAGUUAUAUGCACCUCCAUGUUCACAGCAACAUUAUUUACAAUUGCCAAGAUACGGAAGCAACCUAAGUGUCCAUCCACAGAUGAAUGGAUUAAGAAGAUGUGGUAUAUUACACAAUGGAAUAUUAGCCAUAAAAAGAAUGAAAUUUUGUCAUUUACAACAACAUGAAUGGACUUGGAAAGUAAUAGUGAAGUAAGUCAGACAGAGAAAGACAAAUACUGUAUCAUAUCACUUAUAUGUGGAAUCUAAAAAAUGUAACAAACUAGGAGUUCUCUGGUGGCUCAGCAGGUUAAGGACCUGAUGUUGUGACAGCUGUGGCAUGGGUUUGAUCCCUGGCUGGGGAACUUCUGCAUGCCAUGAGUACAGCCAAAAAAAAAACAAAACAAAUAAGCUACGAGGAUAUAUUGUACAACACAGGAGAUCUGGCCAAUAUUUUAUAAUAAGUAUAAAUGGAGUAUAACUUUUAAAAAUUGUGAAUCAGGGAGUUCCCAUUGUGGCACAGUGGAACCGAAUCCAAUUAGGAACCAUGAGGUUGGGGGUUCAAUCCCUGGCCUCACUCAGUGGGUUUAGGAUCUGGCAUUGCUGUGAGCUGUGGUGUAGGUCACAGACGAGGCUAGGAUCUGCCGUUGCUGUGGCUGUGGUGUAGGCCAGUGGCUACAGGUCCAAUUGGACCCCUAGCCUGGAACUUUCAUAUGCUGCAGGUGCGGCCCUAGACAACAACAAUAACAAAUUGUGAAUCACUAUAGUGUACACCCAUAACUUACAUAAUACUGUACAUUAAUUAUAUUUCAAUUACAAAAAUCCCUGUCUUGGAGUUCCUAUUGUGGCUCAAAGGGUUAAGAACCCGACAUAGUGUCUGUGAGGAUGUGGGUUGGAUCCCUGGCAUUGCUCAGUGGAUUAAGGAUCUGGUGUUGCUGUGGCUAUGGCGUAGGCUGAAAGCUGCAACUUCAUUUUGAUCCCUAGCCUGGGAACUUCCAUAUGCCACAGACAUGGCCCUAAAAAAAAAGGAAAAAAAAAGAAAAAAUCCCUGGCUUGGAGUUCCCUGGUGGCUCAGUGGGUUAUGGAUCUACUACUGUGGCUCUGGUUAGUGCUGUGGUGCAAGUUCGAUCCCUGCACCGGAAACUUCAACAUGCCAUGGGCAGCAUCCCCCACCCCGCCACCAAUCCCUUAUUUUGCCUUUAUGCCUGGGCAAAGAUUUUUUUUUUCUUUUUUUUUCCCAGGCUAGAGAUCCCAUCAGAUCUGGAGCUGCUGGCCUACGCCACAGCCACAGCAACACCAGAUCCAAGCCGUGUCUGCGACCUACGCCACAGCUCACAGCAACGCUGGAUCCUUAACCCACUGAGCGAGGCCAGGGACCGACCCCUCGUCCUCAGAGAAUGCUAGUCAGGUUCAUUACCGCUGAGCCAUGACGGGACCUCCUGCAUUUAGAUUUUUAGCGAACAUCUACUUCGCGCCUCACCUCAAGUCAGUUGCUGGGGAGAAGCAGAAAGGAGGCGUGGGCUGGGCUAGUGCGCAGGUGGACUCAGCCCACCCCUAGUGAGGCUCCCUGCCUGGACUUCUGGGAGAGGCUUGAAUGAGCCUUGAAGGAGACACCUGACUAUCAAAGGAGGGGGUGAAACAGCAUCCCGAGCCAAGGAAGUGACAUAGUAAAAGCCUCCAAGGUGUUUGGGGUUCAUGACUCCUCGGCACAGUUAAGGCCUGGGGUCCACGGGACAGGACAGUCGGGGGAGAGAUGAAGUGAUGAGGCCGAAACCAGAGCAGCGGCUGACUGCACCUCAGGAGUCUGCGGGGGAAGGACUUUGUGGACGUGGCGAUUAUCUCAACUGUUUGUGGGGCAAUCACAGGAGCAUCUGGGGAGAAAACUGGCCCCAGAAGGAAAAGGGCUGCAGGCGGGAAGACCAGAAAGGAUGCUGUUCAGAUGGCCCAGGUGAAAGCCAGUGAGGGCCUAGACUGAGCAGACGUGGUGGGAUGGAGGGGCCCCAGGAGACAGCUCUGGAUUUGGCAGUUGCGGGGGAGGAGCUAGAACAUUGUGCUUUUACAAGAGUGGGUUAUUUAUCCAAAAACAAACAAAACAAAACAACAGCAACAACAGGGCAUUGCCGCAAGCUGUGGUGUAGGCUGCAGAUGUGGCUCGGAUCCAGCGUGGCUGUGGCUGUGCCGUAAGCCAGCAGCUGCAGCUCCGAUUCGAGCCCAGGAACUUCCAUAUGCCUCAGGUGGGGCCCUAGAAAAGGACAGAAAAAAAAAAAAAUACAAGAAUGGGCUUUGUCAUCAAAAGGUGCUGGCAAGAGCCCCAGCAUCCCUUGACUGACUGGGAAGUAACCAUUUCAAGCCUGCUUCCUGAUCUGGACACUGGGGAUGCAGCAGCAGCAGCAGCUCUGAGCUUGGGAGGAUUAUGGGGGCUACUCAGAGAAGCCUUGGCCUUGGUGGAUGCUCAGAACACAGCAGCAUCAUUUGGAUGGAGGAGGGAGCCAAGGAUAGCUUUCUGUCUGCUUUGACUGACUGGGUAGAGAGAGAUGCCAGCUUUGUUGGCGAGCACAGGAAGGGGCACUUUUGAGGCCACCACAGUCUUGGUGGUCAGUGUCAAAGCCAUGGCCUCGUUCACCCGUCAUCUCCGAUUGUACCUCUGGUCUCGGUCCUUGGCACUCAGCUCAGUGCUCAGGCACAUAGUAGGUGCUGCUCUUGAGGAGCAGGACCCAGCUUGCAGGUAGAGAGGCAGAUAUUACAGGCAGGUAGGGGGGCCCGAACCUGGGAAGGUGAGAGAGCAAAGAAAGGAGUUGGACCUGGGAGGAGGCUCAGGGAAUCCUGACUCUGAGGGGACGGGGAAGAAAGGGCAGGUCAGGAAGGAGGCUGGGAAACAAGAGUGUGGCAGGGGAAGGGAUGGGAGGCAGGAGGCAGGUGGGAGCCUAGGAGGGAAGAAGAGAGAGGUCACAUUUGGCUGAAAAAUCAGUGGAGGAUAAGGCCUGGCAAGUGGCUGAUGGAUUUGGUGUAGAGGAGGUCCCUGGGGAACUUGGCUAAAAGCAGAUUCAAAGGCCAAGAACAGGGAGAGAUGGACUUUAAGGAGAGGGACCCAGGAUACUCCGACCCUCCGGGGUACCAGAACCUUCCUCUCCAUAAGGACAUAUUUUGUUUUGACAGAGCCAUCUAAAGAUAAGCCAGGAGGUCUCUGGAGGUGGUGAACACCCGGUCCCUGGAGGGAGACAAGCAGAGCUCUGAGACCCACGCUGUCCGGGGACAUGCACAUUUAGCAUAGGGAAGGCUGUGCAAAAAAAAUAAAUAAAUAAGCCCCAUGUCCUUCUCAGCUAGGCUUGGCCGAUUCCUUGCAUCACAAAAGCCACCUAGAGGGUCACUCUUGCUAUUUCUAGUGUCCAAAGAGCCUCCCGCAGGGACGCACACACAGGGGUGGUCGUGCACAGACUCCCACAGAUCCACCCCAACACAAAAUAUAAAAUCUAUCUGUAUCUCCUGGUGUAAAGGGAUCCACGGCACGUCUCCCCAGGUUAUUCCCUUAAUUCAUUCCCUUUC